rnacentral:rRNA from 1 species
AUGCUGGACAAGUUUGGUUUGGAGAUCAACCCCAACAACUUCAUCGACAUGCAGCGCAAGUGGAAAGAUCCAAAGACUGACAAAUACUACGACUCCUUGGCCGAUGUUGCAGGCGGUGUCAUCCACCCAUUCUACGACAGCAUGAAGAAGAAGAUGGACAGGGCAGACCACAAACUGUGGGGGACCAGCCCACUGCCAGACAACCUCAUCACGUACGCGGGAAUUGAUGCAUACGCAACAUACAAGUCAUGGAAGACAAUCGACAACAUCAUGACAGGUUGGGAUAUUUCAAAAGAUUGA